AGUGAACGCUGGCGGUAGGCCUAACACAUGCAAGUCGGACGGCAGCACAGUAAGAGCUUGCUCUUACGGGUGGCGAGUGGCGGACGGGUGAGGAAUACAUCGGAAUCUACUUUUUCGUGGGGGAUAACGUAGGGAAACUUACGCUAAUACCGCAUACGACCUACGGGUGAAAGCAGGGGAUCUUCGGACCUUGCGCGAUUGAAUGAGCCGAUGUCGGAUUAGCUAGUUGGCGGGGUAAAGGCCCACCAAGGCGACGAUCCGUAGCUGGUCUGAGAGGAUGAUCAGCCACACUGGAACUGAGACACGGUCCAGACUCCUACGGGAGGCAGCAGUGGGGAAUAUUGGACAAUGGGCGCAAGCCUGAUCCAGCCAUACCGCGUGGGUGAAGAAGGCCUUCAGGUUGUAAAGCCCUUUUGUUGGGAAAGAAAAGCAGCAGGUUAAUACCCCGCUGUUCUGACGGUACCCAAAGAAUAAGCACCGGCUAACUUCGUG
rnacentral:rRNA from 1 species